rnacentral:misc_RNA from 1 species
AAGUCGUAACAAGGUUUCCGUAGGUGAACCUGCGGAAGGAUCAUUAACACGUAUCCAAACGUAAAAACCCCCCGUGAACAUUCCUCAAUCUCUGGUAAAUCAUAGCCCGGAAAGUAGUUUUGAAUCAGAGCGUGAGAACAUUGGAACAGUUACAUCGAGCGGUAGUUUCAUAGGUAUUGUUUCCCCAAGCAGUCAGUGUCUGAAAGUGUCACUGAUUGUGCAAGAAUAGCGCUUCGGCGAUUCCUGUAGACCGUACACUCGGGCAGGAGCUAUGCCAAAGGGUCUCCAUGCCCCCGUAUAACCCCACAGUUUAAUGUGAAGCUCAAUGUAAUACAUUGGGUAAAAAAACCGGAUAUCUUGGUUCUC